rnacentral:rRNA from 1 species
UUAAGCCAUGCAUGUCUAAGUAUAAGCGAACUUAUACAGUGAAACUGCGGAUGGCUCAUUAAAACAGUUUGAAUUUAUUUGAUGAAUGUAUGAGAAUACUACUUGGAUAACCGUAGUAAUUCUAGAGCUAAUACAUGCAACGACGCCCGACCGUUUCACUACGGAAGGGCUGUAUUUAUUGGAUACCAAAACCAUCCUUCCCUCGGGAAGUUUUGUUUGAUGAUUCACAACAACUGAUCGGAUCGCCACUGUGGUGGCGACAGGUCAUUCAACAUUCUGCCCUAUCAGCUUUCGAUGGUUGUGUAGUGGACAACCUUGGCCAUAACGGGUAACGGAGAAUCAGGGUUCGAUUCCGGAGAAGGAGCUUGAGAAUUGGCUACUACAUCUAAGGAAGGCAGCAGGCGCGCAAAUUACCCAAUCCCGAUUCGGGGAGGUAGUGACAAAAAAUAACAAUACCGGGCCUUUUUGGGCUUGGUAAUUGGAAUGAGGGAGAGUUAAACGGACCAUCGAGUAUCCAUUGGAGGGCAAGUCUGGUGCCAGCAGCUGCGGUAAUACCAGCUCCAAUAGCGUAUAUUAAAGUUGUUGCAGUUAAAAAGCUCGUAGUUGGACUUGUGUGCGCUGUCCGCGGGUGGCCUGCGCCCAAAAGGGCGUUUCGGUUCGGCCCCGGUGGCGCCUUGAAAUCUGCAGCUGGGGGGACGUUGGCCUUAACUGGUCGGCGACCGCACGCCGGCUGCUCUGUUACUGUGAGAAAAUUAGAGUGUUCAAGGCAGGCAUUGGGUGCAAUUGAAUACAUUAGCAUGGAAUAAUAAAAUAUGGCUCCUGCCGUAUUUUGUUGGUUUUGACUGGUGGGAGUAAUGAUUGAUAGGGACGGUUGGGGGUGCUAGUAUUGAGCGGCCAGAGGUGAAAUUCAUGGAUUCGCUCAAGACUAACUUAUGCGAAAGCAUUCACCAAGGACGUCCUCUUUAAUCAAGAACGAAAGUUGGGGGAUCGAAGACGAUCAGAUACCGUCGUAGUCUCAACCAUAAACUAUGUCGACUUGGGAUCGGCGGUAGUUUUUUCAUUAAGACACUGUCGGGACCACGGGAGAAAUCAAAGUGUCUGGACUCUGGGGGAAGUAUGGUCGCAAGGCUGAAACUUGAAGGAAUUGACGGAAGGGCACCACCAGGAGUGGAGCCUGCGGCUUAAUUUGACCCAACACGGGGAAACUUACCAGGUCCAGAGAUGUAGAGGAUUGACAGAUUGAAGCUCUUUCUUGAUCACUUCGGUGGUGGUGCAUGGCCGUUCUUAGUUGGUGGAGUGAUUUGUCUGGUUA